AUAUCAGAUUUUACAUUGUAUAAUAUAUGACUUUAUACAUUGUAUAAUAUCAGAUUUUACAUUGUAUAUUUUCAGAACUUUGCAUCGUAUAAUCGCAGGCUUUUACUUGAUAGCACUUGCAAAAUUGUUAUAAACAAUAGUCCCCAUUUACUCACCAUCAUAAGGGCCACACACACACACACUAGAUUUAUAUUUCACAUAUUUGUUCAACCACAUUUAUACUGACUAUAAAUCUUACAUGACACAAAAGUGGUGUAUAUUCCUAUAAUCGUUCUGAAUCAUGGCGGACCAACUACAUUGCCAAAGUGUUCCUUCGUUGAGACAAUAUCAAGUCUCAUAUUGUAUAUAUUGUCCCUUCACACCAUUUUGUAAUUUAGUUUUAGAAAUGUGAUGUUUAAGACAUGUUUUUGCAUAAUGAUAUUUCUUACACCAAAAUAAGGACAUCAUAGUAUACUUUAUCAAAUUUUACAUAAAACUGAUGCAUUAUGGAUACUGCUGCUGUCUAAAGAGGUUCAUGUCUCCAGACUACAGUUCAGAUAUUUACUAUAUCAGUUUUUACACCAGAGUUAUUCUAGGCUUUACAUGUAGAUCACAUGUGUACAAAAGUAGGAGGAUUAUUCAGGCAAACCAGCUCUCAUUUCUCUAAAGAGACAGAUAUAGCUGAUGACACAUUUAUUGAUCAGCUUGUAAUACACAUACCAGGAAAGCUAAAUGCACUAUAAAACCUUAGGUUAACACAUUCUACAAAAACCUCCAGUAUGGGGAAGUUUUGUUGUUGGAGCAUUGUAACUUUGAUAACACCUGUGCACCACUGACAGUAUGUACAUAGUGUAUGUACAUGUGUGUCACAAACACAUUUUUAAGAGGAAUACUUGUAUAAGCAUAUAAUUAGACCUUAUGUUUUUGUCGGGGUACAGUUUUUGUAUGUUUGAUUGUAGUGGAUGUAUUUUAGCUGAACUUGACCUUUAGUACAAUAUGACCUCUAGGGCUACAGGACAGCACCCAUGCAGUAAUAAUUAACAGCCACUAAUGCUGGUUGUGUGUAUAUGGACUACAAUGUGUAAAUGUUCUUCAACAAUUGUAUUAUAAAUGACCUUUUGACCUUUCACCUCGUAUUAAGUGAAGAAGAAUGAACUUACUGUUACUAUUGACCUUUGGAAUCUAUUACCAGCAGGUUUUAAUUCGUGGGACAAAAUAAAAUCAGAACAGUAUUUUUUCUAGAUUUUGACUGUUUUUCCUACUGAUCUUAGAUAAAAUUACAUGGAAAUAAAGUUUUAAAGGUAUUACUGAUCAAGGAAACCCUGCAUGUUAAUUUAGAAUUUCAGAAAAAACUGUUAAUAUGAAAUACUGGUGUAAAAAUAGUGUAUAGAUCAAGGAAUAAAACAGUUGUUAUUGCAGUAUAGAUGUUAUGCAGGUUUCCAUGUAUGGUACAUAGAGGUUACAUACAGUGUACUGUGGACUACCAUAGAGGUUACAUACAGUGUACUGUGGACUACCAUAGAGGUUACAUACAGUGUACUGUGGACUACCAUAGAGGUUACAUACAGUGUACUGUGGACUACCAUAGAGGUUACAUACAGUGUACUGUGGACUACCAUAGAGGUUACAUACAGUGUACUGUGGACUACCACUGUAAUAAUAAUACAGCUCUGUCAGUGAUAAUGUCAUUUACACUAAACAUGCAUAUCUGGCUCAUAAUGUGUUUAUCAAGGAUUUCCAAAACACUUCAACCUCUAGCUUCUUUUGAACAAUAUGGACUGGGUCCAGAUCAGACACAGAACAGUCUAAUGUUGGACUCUGAGGGGAUAUAAGGUUACGACAACUUAUAGAUUAAUGACAAUCUGUGUUUGAUUGAUGAUGUCAUUUCUUUGUUUUCUAUUUUUUUGACGGCGCAUUAUGCUGCAUUGAUACCGCCUUCAUUAGUAGCUGUAUCAUGCCAAUGAUUAUCACGUCACUGUUUUACAGCGCUAUGUUUGGCAAUAAUAAAUGGCUGUGAUCGCUAAUACUGAUAAAAAAUCCUAGGACAAAUUGAUGUAAUUAUCAUAUAGUGGAUUAUAGUUAAUGAUAGUUACGGUACAUGUCUUUUAGUUUUGAUAACAAGAAAAGGAAUAUGAUGUAUUAAGAUGUGUUAGGAAAACAUGUGCUUUAAGGAUCUCAAGAUGAAAGAUCUGUUUGAUUUUCAUAAUGUUGUUUUAAUUGUCUAAUACAAAUUCUGAAUAUAUAAACUUUGUCUUCCUACCAUUAUAUUAGAUUGGUGAGAACUCGACAGUGUUAUACAUGUACCACUAGAUAUUGGAUUGUCGGAGUCUCAGUUUACAUUAGGUUCCACUAUGUUGGUCUAUUGCUGGUACAACCCAGUAAUGUAAAUGGGUACAGACAUAAGCUAUUAGAUAGCUGAUGAAUAGAUACAGAUAGAGGUGUUACUGCAAAAUAACUAUGAUAUCAAAACUUGUGGACAUCUACCGUACUUUCUGUAAUGUUGUAGUAACUCUUGUAUUCAGACAGCUAUUUGUGAAAAUGAAUGUUGUAAAUGAAAUUUCAAAUGAAUAAAACUUACACUUAAAACUGUAAACUU
rnacentral:lncRNA from 1 species